rnacentral:rRNA from 1 species
CCUACGGGUGGCAGCAGUGAGGAAUAUUGGUCAAUGGGCUUACGCCUGAACCAGCCAAGUCGCGUGAGGGAAGACUGCCCUAUGGGUUGUAAACCUCUUUAGUCAGGGAGCAACGCAGGCUACGUGUAGCCGGACUGAGAGUACCUGAAGAACAAGCAUCGGCUAACUCCGUGCCAGCAGCCGCGGUAAUAAGGAGGAUGCGAGCGUUAUCCGGAUUUAUUGGGUUAAAGGGGUGCGUAGGCGGAAUGCCAAGUCAGCGGUAAAAUCGCGGGGCUCAACCUCGCUCCGCCGUUGAAACUGGCGUUCUGGAGUGGGCGAGAGGUAUGCGGAAUGCGUGGGGUAGCGGUGAAAUGCAUAGAUAUCACGCAGAACUCCGGUGGCGAAGGCAGCAUACCGGCGCCCAACUGACGCGGAAGCACGAAAGCGUGGGUAUCGAACAGGAUUAGAUACCCGAGUAGUC